GGCCUACCAUGGUGGUAACGGGUAACGGGGUGUUAGGGCACGACACCGGAGAGGGAGCCUGAGAAACGGCUACCACAUCCAAGGAAGGCAGCAGGCGCGCAAAUUACCCAAUCCCGACACGGGGAGGUAGUGACAAUAAAUAACAAUACAGGGUUCUUUAGGAUCUUGUAAUUGGAAUGAGUACAAUUUAAAUCUCUUAACGAGGAACAAUUGGAGGGCAAGUCUGGUGCCAGCAGCCGCGGUAAUUCCAGCUCCAAUAGCGUAUAUUAAAGUUGUUGCAGUUAAAAAGCUCGUAGUUGAACUUCGGGAUCAAUUGAUCGGUCAUGCCAUUGGUAUGUACUGGUCAUAUUGGUUCUCACCUUCUAAGGAACCAUAAUGUCAUUAAUUUGAUGUUUUGGGGAAUUAGGACUGUUACCUUGAAAAAAUUAGAGUGUUUAAAGCAGGCUAACGCUUGAAUACAUUAGCAUGGAAUAAUGAAAUAGGACAUCGCAUUCUAUUUUGUUGGUUUCUAGGAUCGAUGUAAUGAUUAAUAGGGAUAGUUGGGGGCAUUAGUAUUCAAUUGUCAGAGGUGAAAUUCUUGGAUUUAUUGAAGACUAAACUACUGCGAAAAGCAUUUGCCAAGGAUGUUUUCAUUUAAUCAAGAACGAAAGUUAGGGGGAUCGAAGACGAUCAGAUACCGUCGUAGUCUUAACCAUAAACUAUGCCGACUAGGGAUCCGGAUGAUGUUGAUUUUUUAUUGACUCAUUCCGGCACCUUUACG
rnacentral:rRNA from 1 species